rnacentral:rRNA from 1 species
UACAGAGGGGGCAAGCGUUAUUCGGAAUUAUUGGGCGUAAAGGGUGCGUAGGCGGCGCGGUAAGUCGGGUGUGAAAUCUCGGAGCUUAACUCCGAAACUGCAUUCGAUACUGCCGUGCUUGAGGACUGGAGAGGAGACUGGAAUUUACGGUGUAGCGGUGAAAUGCGUAGAUAUCGGGAAGAACACCCGUGGCGAAGGCGGCUCUCUGGGCUAUAACUGACGCUCAUGCACGAAAGCGUGGGGAGCAAACAGG